ACACCGUUGGUGAAGUGGUUAUCAUGCUUGCCUUCCAUAGCUUGAUGCUUUAAGUAAGUGGCUCGGGUUCGAUUCCCGAACGGUUUA